rnacentral:rRNA from 1 species
AGUGAAUGCUGGCGGCAGGCCUAACACAUGCAAGUCGAACGGCAGCACAAGAGAGCUUGCUCUCUGGGUGGCGAGUGGCGGACGGGUGAGGAAUGCAUCGGAAUCUGCCCAUUUGUGGGGGAUAACCUCGGGAAACCGGGACUAAUACCGCAUACGACCUACGGGUGAAAGCAGGGGAUCUUCGGACCUUGCGCAGAUGGAUGAGCCGAUGCCGGAUUAGCUAGUUGGAGGGGUAAAGGCCCACCAAGGCGACGAUCCGUAGCUGGUCUGAGAGGAUGAUCAGCCGCACUGGGACUGAGACACGGCCCAGACUCCUACGGGAGGCAGCAGUGGGGAAUAUUGGACAAUGGGCGCAAGCCUGAUCCAGCCAUGCCGCGUGUGUGAAGAAGGCCUUCGGGUUGUAAAGCACUUUUGUUGGGAAAGAAAAGCAGCCGGUUAAUACCCGGUUGUCAUGACGGUACCCAAAGAAUAAGCACCGGCUAACUUCGUG